rnacentral:rRNA from 1 species
GCUUUACUGUAGCCUGGAAUUGGGUUCGGGCUUUGACUGCGCAGGAUAGGUGGGAGACUAUGAAGUAGUCCUUGUGGGGACUAUGGAGUCAACGGUGAGAUACCACUCUGUCAAAGCUAGAAUUCUAACCGAUAGCCGUUAUCCGGCAUCGAAACAGUUUCAGGUGGGCAGUUUGACUGGGGCGGUCGCCUCCUAAACGAUAACGGAGGCGCACAAAGGUUCUCUCAGGCUGGUUGGAAAUCAGCCGUAGAGUGUAAAGGCAUAAGAGAGCUUGACUGUGAGACUGACAAGUCGAACAGGGUGGAAACACGGUCUUAGUGAUCCGACGGCGCUGAGUGGAAGGGCCGUCGCUCAACGGAUAAAAGUUA